rnacentral:tRNA from 1 species
GUCCUGAUAGCUUAACUAAAGCACUGGUCUUGUAAACCAGAGACUGUAGCCUAAUCCCUACUCAGGGCA